rnacentral:lncRNA from 1 species
UGUAAAGUGGGGGGACCUUUUUUCGUCUAGAGUAUGAGAUAUUGGGUAUACCAAAUGGUAGUCGCUUUGCACCAUCCACGUCUGGAAGCUUUGGCUAGGAGUGUCACGACCAAGGACGCGGUGUGCUGUGCGCUGUCCAUGUUGACGGGCCAUCCUCGAGUUGCCCCUACCAGGCAAAUCCGCUCGCCUCGAGUUGCCCCUUCCAAGCAAAUCUGGUCGCAAUUGCUAGUCAUCGACGUCCUCCGAGCGGCGUGUGGAUGGCCACAUAUUGUUGUUUUUUGCUCGUCUACGGUGAAGCCUACAUUGAUGAUUGUUAAUGGUGAAGUCGGAGUCGCCCUCGCAGAGGUGUGAUGACGAUGACGCCGGAUUACAACCUUGAUGAAGCUCUUUCCCUUGACGGCGUGUGUGCGUUUUUGUGUAGGUUUUCAGGUCGCCUUGUGUGCCUUGUUGUGGGCGCAUUGUGACGGUUUUAGCCCGAUUUUCCGAUUAUUAACCGGGCAAUUCUCUUCGACCUUUUUUAAUGAAAUCGAUACCUAAGGGACCGCGUUUCAAAAAAUAAAGUGGUAAAGCUUUCUAGACUCCGUAAUCAUUUCAGUUGGUCACGGCAUGCUACUCUGAUUUUAGCAUCCCAUUAUCUAAAACAUUUUAUAGAUGGCACAUUUGUGAAAUCAGAUGAUAAUGUUGAGUGAGAGCAAUUUGAACAGAAUGAGAACCGUUGUUUUGGCGUGGUUGUUGGGGGUCAAGUUGACUCCUUUCAUGCCAAUUUUGCCNGCCUUGUGACGGUUUUAGCCCGAUUUUUCGAUUAUUAACCGGGCAAUUCUCUUCGACUUUUUUUUAAUGAGAUCGAUACCUAAGGAACCGUGUUUUAAAAAAUAAAGUGGUAAAGCUUUUUGGAGUCGGUAAUCAUUUCAGUUGGUCACGGCAUGCUACUCUGAUUUUAGCAUCCCAUUAUCUAAAACAUUUUAUAGAUGGCACAUUUGUGAAAUCAGAUGAUAAUGUUGAGUGAGAGCAAUUUGAACAGAAUGAGAACCGUUGUUUUGGCGUGGUUGUUGGGGGUCAAGUUGACUCCUUUCAUGCCAAUUUUGCCACCCGAGACACCGCCUUUGAGCUACUGCUCAACUCUAUGUUCAUUUCUACAUGAGAGAGUAGGAAUAACAGAUCAAGGGCAUACAAGUCUGUUACUACUAUCUUACACUCAAUAACUCGUGCUCUUGUUAAUUUCAUUUGGGGAUUCCUCUCAAGCAUUGAAUGCGCUCGUCCGCCAAUUGGCUGAGCAUACAAUUUGUAUGACCGGUCUAGUUGUAUACAUAUGACUUUUCUGGUCUAGAUGAUGAACUUGGUUAGGUUCAUCUAAGUCGUAUGACAUAUAGCUGUAGUAGUAAUCAUAGUAGUAUAAAUACUAAGCACUUGUCCACAUUGCACCCAUUCUCAACUCUACUGCCACUGAGAAUUUAUAAGUUGAUGCAUAUAUUUCUUCAUAUUUUAUAGUGUAUGAGAUAUUGGAGUACACCAAAAGGUAGAAGGUUAAAGGUGUGCGGUGGCGCGCAGUCUGUGCACCAUAUGUUGGUGAAUCAUAGUCUGAAUAGGCUAGGUACAAUUGCAUCCAUCCUAGGACAACACGAAUGAAGAAUUUAGUGUUAGAUAGCAAAGGCAGCUGAUAGCAAGUCAAAUACACACCACACUACCACACGUGCAAUGUGUCCUCUAUUUACCAGGAUUCCGGUGCUGCACCGAUGAUUCCUGGCCGCAUCCAAGCGCGGCGGAGUGCCAUCGGUGUGCUGUCCCGUGUCAUGAAGCGCCCACACAAUCUGCAGUUCACCUAUACGAUUAUAGCCAUAUACGAUCAUACCCGUGCAUGACAAAGUUAGGUAGGCUCAUCAAAGCGUUAUGUCUGUUCAAGCUAUUGUAAUUAGUAUAAAUAGUAAGCACUUCAUGUGAUUUAACCCAUUCUAACUCUUGCCACUGUUGUUGAGAACAAUAAAUAAAGUGUACACAUAUGUUUCCUUUGCGUAUUAUAUAGAGUAUGCUUGAGAUAUUGGAGUACAACAAAAUAUAAUUUCUGUUGGGAAGUAGCCUGCUAAGUUGUUAAUUUGUUGAAGGGAGUUUUCUUCGGUGGUUGUAAGAGGAUUGUCGUGAAGCAGUGUUUUUUUUCUUUUCUUUUGAAAAUGGCAGGAUUCUUGCAUUCAGGCCAAUCACGUUCUAAUAGAUCCAAAUGAAAAUUGAUUCGUGCUCGUUUGAUCCAGGGAUACCGGCCGGUGCCCAAACGGGAGUGUUGACUUGCAAUUUGGAGUUCGAUCAAAAUAUGUUUUCAGCAUGUUCCAGCCGUGUUUUUGUUUUGGAAUCCGGUGAUGUACAUGUUAUCAUCAGCCGUUGCUAGCUGUCAUGGUUCGCUAAUCAGAUAUUUUAAAGAUUUUACUCUAGACUAGAUACGAAACUAAGUAAAUGAAUCUAAAUUUUAAAAUAUGACUACAUACAUCCGUAUGUAGUUUAUAGUAAAAUUUCUAAAAGGUCUUACAUUUACUAUUUAGGAACAGAGGAAGUAUAUAUACUCUAUUCCAACAAAUCUCAGUGUGAUUUAUUGUUCUUCUUUGACCAAUGUGCGCUAGCAUUAUCCAUUUGUUAGGAUUUUUUGACAUUUUAAAAUUUAUUUUCCAUAGGCAGGAGCACGUCCUCCUGGGAGCCGAAUUGCAUCUCCGCAAUUAGUUGUAUUUAUAUCUUUGCUGAUAGUAUUAUUUGCAAUAAGCUGUAGUACUUACUUACAGAGUCGAUAUGGAACUGCGUAUUGCAAACUCCUGUAACUAAUACUGUAAGUAUUGUCAGGGCCGGGCCGGCAAAAUCCGGGUCCUGUGCGGAACGAAAAAAUGGGGCCCUAUCUCAUAAAAAUAUGAACUAACAAGCAAUUAUAAUGUAUAUAUGUCUCAUAGAAAAAAUUAUAAUGUAUAUAAUAUAAUAUCUUACAUAAAAAAUGGACAUAUAAAAAAGUCAUACCUAUGCAACUUUCGAUUGCUAUUUAUUUGAACAUCCUCAUUCUUGCAGUAUUCUUUGAAAUAAAAUCUUCAAUGAUAUCCUCGUCAUCAACCUUCUCCAAGACUUCACCCUCAAGUGCUAUUGUGGCCAAAUCAUUGAGUCUUUGUUGUGUCAUAGUAGUACGCAUAUAGGACUUCAAUAGUUUCAAUUUGAAAAACUUCUUUCUGCCAAUGCAACUGUCACAGGAAUGGUCAACAGAACUCUAUAUGCAAUACUUGCAUUGAGAAAACAAUCAUGCCGCUUCAAAAAAUUCAGAAUUUCAACAGGUCCGAUAUUUUCUUUUGGCAUGAAAUCUUGAAGAAACUUCAACUCAACAAAUAGUUCAUUGGCAUCAAUAUCAGAUUGUUUAUCCUUGAUAAGGGAAGCCUCAAUAUUAACACAAGAAGAUUUCAAACUAUCCUUAUCCAAUGAACGCAAUGUUUCAGAGGUAAAUAAGAAACCAAAUAUUUUCUGGUAACCUUCAUAUUGCUCAAAUCUCCUUGUGAGUGAGGAAAUUGCUUGAUCAACAACACGUAUGAAAUAGUUGACUCUAAAUGAUUCCUCUCCAGACUGUGUGGCAAUAUUUGUGUCGUCUGGGUUCUCAUCAAACUGUUUCUUUCUUUUAAUUUCUCUUCUUUUACGAAAUGUUGCAUCAAUAUUCAUCUCAAGUGCAAUUUCUUUGGUAUCUCCAAUGCUUCUAAGAAACCAGUUUCUCUGUACCCCUCAAAGAAAGAAAUAAGCCCUUUCACUUUCUCAAUUGCAACAUUAAUAAGCAUAUCCUUUUUUUGCAAGUUCUUGCUUAUUAAAUUAAUAGCAGACAAUACCUCAUACCAAAUGACUAUUGCCAGGAUAAAUUCAUACUCUCCAAGUUCAUUGUUUGCCAAACCUAGAGCCUCACUGCUUGCCUUUGGAUCACUAUUAGUUUCAGAUACCUGAAAUUAAAAGAAAGUUCAUAAAUGUUACGGCUAGAUCUAGUCAAAGGCUGAAUGAAUUACAUCAUUAUCAAUAUGAACAUAUUGGUUACCUGAAGUAGAGCCUCCCGAAUGUCUGAACAUUGAAAUCUAAUUGGUUUAACACUUUCAACACGACUCUCCCAACGCGUAGCUGACACACACUUGAGAGUCAAUCCUGAUAUGUUUUCUUUCAAAAUAUGCCAGUUCUUAGUAGAAUUUGCAAAAGUUGUAUAGAUGAGUUGGAUGAUCCCAAAAAAGUCUUUUGCUCUACCACAAGUCUUGGCCAUAUCACAAAGUGUUAAAUUAAGGCUAUGACAACCACAAGCAGAAUAAAAAGCUCUAGGAUUUACAUCCAAAAGUUUUCUUUAUACCCCUUGAUGCGUUCCUUUCAUAUUUGAUCCAUUAACAUAACCUUGUCCUCGCACAUCAUUUAUAUCAAGAUCAAGAAGUUUUAGCUCAUUCUGUAGCACCUCAAAAAGUCCUUGGCCAGUUGUAUCAUUUACAUCAAGAAAUUCUAGAAAGGACUCUUCUAUGCAAACUUGACUUGAAGAUGAAUCCACAUAUCUUAUAAUUAAAGACACUUGCUCUUGGUGACUUGCAUCAAGGGUACAAUCAAGUAUGACAGAGAAAUACUUUGCGCUCUUUAUUUUCUUGAUAAUUUCAGACCUAAUACAAGAAGCAAGCAAGUGUAGCAAUUCAUUCUGAAUAUUAUGAUCAAGAUAAUGAGCAUGAGUUUCUUCAUUUGUAAUACGACGAACAUGCUCCUGAAUAAUGGGGUCAAAUUCAACCAACAUCUCUACCAAACCCAAGAAAUUACCAUUGCUAUCUUCAUACAACUUGCCAUUAGUACCACAUAAUGCUAGAUUAUGCUUGGCAAGAAAUUUUACAAUGCAAACAAUUCUGAAUAAUACCUUUCUCCAAUGGUCCUUCUCUUUCCCAAGUUGUCGUUGAGCUGCUUUAUCAAUAGUUUGAUGUUUUUCCAAUCUAAUGCGCAACUCAUACCAAUUAGUCAUACUCAAAACAUGAUCCCCACUUGUCUCAUGGUCUUUUAGUCUAUUGGUCAUAUGUGACCAAUCAUUACAACCCUUAUUUGCCAAUUGACCUUUCUGAUGACUUUUUCUAAAUAACUUACAAGCAAAGCAAAAGACUCUAUCAAGUUGUUUAGAAUAGACAAGUCAGUCUCUAUCACAACACUCUCCAUUUGAUAGAAAUCUAGUAUAGAAUAUUGCGGUAAACCUUUUACGAUAUCUAUCUUUAGGACCUUUCUUAAUUGAAUUGUCUCUUUUUGAACCCUUUUGUGCUAAGAUAUCAAUCUGUUUAGAACCAAGAGAAUCCCGGUUUCUUGGAUCAAAUAUAUCAGACUUAGAAAAAUCAUCAACAUCCUCACGAGGUGAACUAUUCAAGUUAACAUCAAUAUGAUCCUCUACUUCCAUAUUAUCUGUCUCUGUCUGACCAUCUCUAGCAUCAUUGUAAGGAACAAUUGCAAGGGUAGAAGGAUCAACAGACUGAUUACUGGAUGACACUUGCGGUGCUUCUUUUCUAACAAAUUUGUCCAUGCCGCCUUUAUAAGAUUUAUUAAUUAAAUUUUGUUCUUCCGCUUUUCUCUUGCGCUUAUAGGCACCAAACUGAUGUUUCCCCAUGAUGAUUCAAAUCUAUAUUAUUGAAACACAAGAUCAAAAAGAUGAAUACAAUGAAAUUGAAGUUAUAUAGUAGCAUAUAUCAAUUGGAGAUCAUGCAUCAAUGUUUGGAACUUAGACGAACUGUCUAACUCACCUAGUUUUGUGUCCUGCACGGAUGAACUGGGAUCAAUCCGACGAGACGACAAGUCUCGGCGGCGGCCUAAAUCGGAUCGCGGGAUCGACUGAUAAGCAGAUGAAGUGAUCAGUCAUGAUGCGAACGAGAAGGCGACGAGCCGACGAGAUAUUCUUUUCUUACCGAAAUAGAGACGGGAGCGCUACUCGUACUGUCGUACAUGCGCACGCACGGCAUCAACGGUAGAGACGACGCGUAUCCUUCCGUUCUGUGCGAUCACGUCUACAGAAGUAUAGAUCGAUGGGGGAAGACGUCUACAGAUCGAUCAUCGAUGGGAUCAUGCAGACCUUCGUCGUGCGCACCUGCGUCCUGGGAUCAUCGAUGGGGGAAGAUGUGUGCACCUGGCGGCUGGCGCUGGCGAUCACGUUUCGUAGAUGGAGUCACGGAGGCCUGCGCGCCUGACCUACAGGCUACAAGCCACAGGCCCAGGUCGCUCUAGCGAGGCAACGUCCUGCUGGUCCAUGCACCCACCGCCCAGCGGACAGCUGGCUUGAGGCGACCACGGCGCGGAGACGAGCCACCAGCCACGACGCCCACGAAGCCACGACGCCCAAUCGUUUUCUUUAUACAACUAUAUGCUAUAUUAUAUAUAUAUUUUGGGGCCCCCAAAAUCGUGGGCCCUGUGCGGGCUGCACAUGUGACACCACUGUGGGCCCGGGCCUGAGUAUUGUGAUAACAAGAAGGUGUUGCCACGCUUCUCCACUUUGUCCAGUCGGUUGAGCAUAGAAGUUAUAUGAUGGUUCUAACUGUCCUGUGCAUGACAAUUAGUUAGUUUCACCCAAGUCAUAUGACAUAUUACCUGUAAUAGUAAUCCUAGUAGUAUAAAUACUUCUAUAAGAAAGUAGUAUAAAUAGUAAGCGCUUCUCCACAUCUAAGCUGUACAGCUCCACUGAUGUUGAGGAUUAAGUUGAUACAUAUGUUUCUUUAUAAUUAAGAGAGUAUGAGAUGCAAUGCGGUGAUGGUUGCUUUACAAUGCCCGUUCCGUCCCAAAAUAAAUGCUUUAACCUUAGUUUAAUUUUUUGCUACAGCUAGUAUAAAGAUGAAACAGUUAUUUUGAAACAGAUGAGUAUAAAGAAGGGGGAACCUUUUUUCGUCAAGAGAGUAUGAGAUAUUGGGGUAUACCAAAUGAUAGAAGGUUUAAGGUUUCAAUUGUCUCUGUGGCAGCACUAAUGUCUCCUCUUCCUGCUAGUAUUUCUUUUUCUGGUAGACAUGUGUAGCCACAAUGCAUCAGACCGGAAGCUAUUAAGUCGCUUUGCACCAUCCACGUCUGGACGCUUUGGAUAGGAGUGUCACGACCAAGGACGCGGUGGUGCUGUGCUGCGAUGUUUCUUUCACUGGAUGUAGUUGAAAUGGUGAUUUUUUUCUCGAUGUAGCGUGUACUGCAAUAUAUAUCAUACUCUGUUCCAACAAAUCUCAGUGUGAUUUAUUAUUCUGCUUUGACCAAUGCGCGCUAGCAUUAUCCACUUGUUAGGAUUUUUUUGACAUUUCAAAAUUUAUUUUCCAUGGGCAGGAGCACGUGCUCCUGGAAGCCGAAUUGCAUCUCCGCAAUGAGUUGUACUUAUAUCUUUGUUGGUAGUAUUAUUUGCAAUAAGCUGUAGUACUUAUUUGCAAAGGCGAUAUGUAACUGUGUAUUGCAAACUCCUGUAACUAAUAGUCAAGUAUUGUGAUAACAAAAAGGUAUUGCCACGCUUCUGCACUUAUCAAGCAAGCUUGUCUACCAGUCGCUUGAGCAUCGAAGUUAUAUGAUGGUUCUAACUGUCCUGAUCUGCAUGGCAGUUAGUUAGUUUCACCCAAGUCAUAUGACAUAUUACCUGUAAUACUAAUCCUAGUAGUAAUACUUCUGUAAGAAAGUAGUAUAAAUAAGCGCUUCGCCACAUCUAAGCUGUACAGCUCCAGUGAUGUUAAGGAUUAAGUUGAUACAUACUCCUAUGUUUCUCCAUAUUUAAGAGAGUAUGAGAUGUAAUGCGGGGAUGGUUGCUUUAUACUACUCCCUUCACGUCAAAAUAAGUAUCGUAAAUUUAAUAAUGUAUAAAUUUUAUAUUAGAACAGCAACACUUAUUUUAAACCAGAGGGAGCAAUGUAAAGUGGGGGGACCUUUUUUCGUCUAGAGUAUGAGAUAUUGGGUAUACCAAAUGGUAGUCGCUUUGCACCAUCCACGUCUGGAAGCUUUGGCUAGGAGUGUCACGACCAAGGACGCGGUGCUGCUGUGUGCUGUCCAUGUUGACGGGCCAUCCUCGAGUUGUCCGCAAAUCCGCUCGCCUCGAGUUGUCCGCAAAUCCGCUCGCCUCGAGUUGCCCCUUCCAAGCAAAUCUGGUCGCAAUUGCUAGUCAUCGACGUCCUCCGAGCGGCGUGUGGAUGGCCACAUAUUGUUGUUUCUUGCUCGUCUACGGCAGAGGCUACAUCGAUGAUCGUUAAUGGUGAAGUUGGAGUCGCCCUCGCAGAGGUGUGAUGACGAUGACGCUGGAUUACAACCUUGACGGAGCUCUUCCCCUUGGCGGUGUGUGUGCAUUUUUGUGUAGGUUUUCAGAUCGCCUUGUGACGGUUUUAGCCCGAUUUUUCGAUUAUUAACCGGGCAAUUCUCUUCGACUUUUUUUUAAUGAGAUCGAUACCUAAGGAACCGUGUUUUAAAAAAUAAAGUGGUAAAGCUUUUUGGAGUCGGUAAUCAUUUCAGUUGGUCACGGCAUGCUACUCUGAUUUUAGCAUCCCAUUAUCUAAAACAUUUUAUAGAUGGCACAUUUGUGAAAUCAGAUGAUAAUGUUGAGUGAGAGCAAUUUGAACAGAAUGAGAACCGUUGUUUUGGCGUGGUUGUUGGGGGCCAAGUUGACUCCUUUCAUGCCAAUUUUGCCAUCCGAGACACAGCCUUUGAGUUGCUGCUCAACUCUAUGUUCAUUUCUACAUAAGAGAGUAGGAAUAACAGAUCAAGGGCAUACAAGUCUGUUACUACUAUCUUCCACACAACAACUCGUGCUCUUGUUAAUUAAUUUCAUUUGGGGANGGCACAUUUGUGAAAUCAGAUGAUAAUGUUGAGUGAGAGCAAUUUGAACAGAAUGAGAACCGUUGUUUUGGCGUGGUUGUUGGGGGCCAAGUUGACUCCUUUCAUGCCAAUUUUGCCAUCCGAGACACAGCCUUUGAGUUGCUGCUCAACUCUAUGUUCAUUUCUACAUAAGAGAGUAGGAAUAACAGAUCAAGGGCAUACAAGUCUGUUACUACUAUCUUCCACACAACAACUCGUGCUCUUGUUAAUUAAUUUCAUUUGGGGAUUCCUCUCAAGCAUUGAAUGCGCUCGUCCGCCAAUCGGCUGAGCAUAGAAUUUGUAUGACUGGUCUAGUUGUAUACAUAUGACUUUCCUGGUCUGGAUGAUUAAGUUGGUUAGGUUCAUCUAAACCGGAGGGAGUAUGACAUAUAGCUGUAGUAGUAAUGUAUAAAUACUCAGCACUUGUCCACAUUAAUUGCACCAAUCUCAACUCUACUGCCACUGAGAAUUUAUAAGUUGAUGCAUAUAUUUCUCCAUAUCUUGUAGUGUAUGAGAUAUUGGAGUACACCAAAAGGUAGAAGGUUAAAGGUGUGCGGUGGCGCGCAGUC